GAUGAACGCUGGCGGCGUGCUUAACACAUGCAAGUCGAACGGUGAAGGCGGAGCUUGCUCUGCUGGAUCAGUGGCGAACGGGUGAGUAACACGUGAGCAAUCUGCCCCUGACUCUGGGAUAAGCGCUGGAAACGGCGUCUAAUACUGGAUACGAGCUGCGAAGGCAUCUUCAGCAGCUGGAAAGAAUUUCGGUCAGGGAUGAGCUCGCGGCCUAUCAGCUUGUUGGUGAGGUAAUGGCUCACCAAGGCGUCGACGGGUAGCCGGCCUGAGAGGGUGAGCGGCCACACUGGGACUGAGACACGGCCCAGACUCCUACGGGAGGCAGCAGUGGGGAAUAUUGCACAAUGGGCGAAAGCCUGAUGCAGCAACGCCGCGUGAGGGACGACGGCCUUCGGGUUGUAAACCUCUUUUAGCAGGGAAGAAGCGAAAGUGACGGUACCUGCAGAAAAAGCGCCGGCUAACUACGUG
rnacentral:rRNA from 1 species